rnacentral:rRNA from 1 species
CCCUUAGAUGUUCUGGGCCGCACGCGCGCUACACUGACGAAUGCAACGAGCUUAUAACCUUGGCCGAAAGGUCUGGGUAAUCUCCAAAUUUCGUCGUGAUGGGGAUAGAUUAUUGCAAUUAUUAAUCUUCAACGAGGAAUGCCUAGUAAGCGCAAGUCAUCAGCUUGCGUUGAUUACGUCCCUGCCCUUUGUACACACCGCCCGUCGCUCCUAACGAUUGAAUGGUCCGGUGAAGCGUUCGGACCGUGGCCUUUGGACGGUUCGCCGUCUGUUGGCUGCGGGAAGUUCGUUAAACCUUAUCAUUUAGAGGAAGGAGAAGUCGUAACA